UGGGGAAUAUUGCGCAAUGGAGGAAACUCUGACGCAGCAACGCCGCGUGAAGGAUGAAGGUCUUCGGAUUGUAAACUUCUUUGAUGAGGGACGAAGGAAGUGACGGUACCUC
rnacentral:rRNA from 1 species